UACGUAGGGGGCAAGCGUUGUCCGGAUUCAUUGGGCGUAAAGAGCGUGUAGGCGGCCAGGUAGGUCGGUUGUGAAAACUGGAGGCUCAACCUUCAGAGGUCGACCGAAACCAUCUGGCUAGAGUCCGGGAGAGGAGAGUGGAAUUCCUGGUGUAGCGGUGAAAUGCGCAGAUAUCAGGAAGAACACCAGUGGCGAAGGCGACUCGCUGGACAGACAUUGACGCUGAGGUGCGAAAGCGUGGGGAGCAAACAGG
rnacentral:rRNA from 1 species